UAAUGCUUGGGAAUCUAGCUUAUGAGGGGGAGUAACUACGGGAAACUGUAGCUAAUACCGCGUAGAAUCGGGAGAUGAAAGUGUGGGACCUUCGGGCCACAUGCCAUAGGAUGAGCCCAGGUGGGAUUAGGUAGUUGGUGAGGUAAAGGCUCACCAAGCCGACGAUCUCUAGCUGGUCUGAGAGGAUGACCAGCCACACUGGGACUGAGACACGGCCCAG
rnacentral:rRNA from 1 species